UUCGCAAUGCCCGAAAGGGUGACGGAGCGACGCCGCGCGGACGACGAAGGCCCUCGGGUUGUAAAGUCCUGUCAGGUGGGAAGAACAGCUUGGAGGUGAAUAACCUUCAAGCCUGACGUUACCAUCAGAGGAAGCACCAGCAAACUUCGUGCCAGCAGCUGCGGUAAUACGAAGGGUGCGAGCGUUGUUCGGAAUCACUGGGCUUAAAGGGCACGUAGGCGGGGAGAUAAAUCAGAAGUGAAAGCCCGGCGCUCAACGUCGGAAUUGCUUUUGAAAAUGUCUCUCUCGAGUUCAGGAGGGGAGAGCGGAACUCUUGGUGGAGCGGUGAAAUGCGUAGAUAUCAAGGGGAGCGCCGGCGGCGAAAGCGGCUCUCUGGCCUGAUACUGACGCUGAGGUGCGAAAGCUAGGGGAGCAAAAAGGAUUAGAUACCCUUGUAGUCCUAGCCGUAAACGAUGGGCACUAAGUAGAGGGGUUUU
rnacentral:rRNA from 1 species